UGGUUCUGGCAUCGAUGAAGAACGCAGCGAAAUGCGAUAAGUAGUGUGAAUUGCAGAAUUCAGUGAAUCAUCGAAUCUUUGAACGCACAUUGCGCCCUUUGGUAUUCCUUAGGGCAUGCCUGUUCGAGCGUCAUCUAACCCUUCAAGCACUGCUUGGUGUUGGGCGCUUGUCCCCGCCUCGGGCGCGGACUCGCCUUGAAAGCAUUGGCGGCCGGUGUGUUGGCUUCGAGCGCAGUAGACCCGCGCGUCGAUCGCCUCUGGCACCGGCGUCCAGCAAGAACGCACCCCCAGUUUGACCUCGGAUCAGGUAGGGAUACCCGCUGA
rnacentral:misc_RNA from 1 species